rnacentral:rRNA from 1 species
AGCGAACGCUGGCGGCAGGCCUAACACAUGCAAGUCGAACGGAUCCUUCGGGAUUAGUGGCGGACGGGUGAGUAACACGUGGGAACGUGCCCUUUGGUUCGGAACAACUCAGGGAAACUUGAGCUAAUACCGGAUGUGCCCUUCGGGGGAAAGAUCUAUCGCCAUUGGAGCGGCCCGCGUCUGAUUAGAUAGUUGGUGAGGUAAAGGCUCACCAAGGCGACGAUCAGUAGCUGGUCUGAGAGGAUGAUCAGCCACAUUGGGACUGAGGCACGGCCCAAACUCCUACGGGAGGCAGCAGUGGGGAAUCUUGCGCAAUGGGCGAAAGCCUGACGCAGCCAUGCCGCGCGAAUGAUGAAGGUCUUAGGAUUGUAAAAUUCUUUCACCGGGGACGAUAAUGACGGUACCCGGAGAAGAAGCCCCGGCUAACUUCGUGCCAGCCGCCGCCGUAAAAC